rnacentral:lncRNA from 1 species
UGUAUUCGAAGAAAUUUAAUCAAAAUAUUAUCAUUUUGUUCAUAAUCCUAGCUAGGUACUUAGCUAAACAACUCAGAGAAUAUGUGCAUUAACACAAAAUCAAAUAUCAAUCCAAAACAAAUUAUUUUAUUUUAAAACACGAAUUCUUAAUUCCAUUAAAUAGUAAUUUUUAUUUCGAAUGAUUUUGAAUGAACACAACCAUAUUCUGAAAUACGAAAAAGCAGUAAAUUUUCGUAUAACAAUAAAAAUAAGACGUUAAUUUGUAUAAGAAGAAUUACCAGAGAAAGAAGUGAAAUGAGAUGUAUUUCCCUUUCCAAGGUGGUUCCAAGAAGCUGAUGAAUUAUCAGAUUUUAAUUGGCCAAAAACUUCACUUAGUUGGGAUCCAAGUCUCAUCCACGAAGGGCCUAUGCCAAUGGGAUUUUGCAAAUUAAUCCCUAAUUCGUGCUCUUUGGAAAAUAUUGAGUGCAUGGUCAUAGUAUCAGAAUGCACCUUUUCCCU